rnacentral:rRNA from 1 species
UACGUAGGGGGCUAGCGUUGUCCGGAUUUAUUGGGCGUAAAGAGCGUGUAGGCGGCCAUGUAGGUCCGGUGUGAAAACUCGAGGCUUAACCUCGAGAUGUCAUCGGAAACCAUUUGGCUAGAGUCCGGAAGAGGAGAGUGGAAUUCCUGGUGUAGCGGUGAAAUGCGCAGAUAUCAGGAAGAACACCAGUGGCGAAGGCAGCUCUCUGGGACGGUACUGACGCUGAGACGCGAAAGCGUGGGGAGCGAACAGG